rnacentral:piRNA from 1 species
UGGUUCAUAUUGAGAAAAGCACAAACGAGC